rnacentral:rRNA from 1 species
GACGUAGGGCGCGAGCGUUGUCCGGAUUUAUUGGGCGUAAAGAGCUCGUAGGCGGCUUGUCGCGUCGACUGUGAAAACUCGGGGCUCAACUCCGAGCUUGCAGUCGAUACGGGCAGGCUAGAGUUCGGUAGGGGAGACUGGAAUUCCUGGUGUAGCGGUGAAAUGCGCAGAUAUCAGGAGGAACACCGGUGGCGAAGGCGGGUCUCUGGGCCGAUGCUGACGCUGAGGAGCGAAAGCGUGGGGAGCGAACAGG